rnacentral:rRNA from 1 species
UUGUCUCAAAGAUUAAGCCAUGCAUGUCUCAGUACAAGCCAAAUUAAGGUGAAACCGCGAAAGGCUCAUUAAAUCAGUUAUGGUUCCUUAGAUCGUACCCACAUUUACUUGGAUAACUGUGGUAAUUCUAGAGCUAAUACAUGCAAACAGAGCUCCGACCGGAGACGGAAGGAGCGCUUUUAUUAGAUCAAAACCAAUCGGUGGCGGACGGUAAAACGUUCGUUAUCGUAUACUUUGGUGAUACUGAAUAACUUCUUGCUGAUCGCACGGUCUAGCACCGGCGACGCAUCUUUCAAAUGUCUGCCUUAUCAACUGUCGAUGGUAGGUUCUGCGCCUACCAUGGUUGUAACGGGUAACGGGGAAUCAGGGUUCGAUUCCGGAGAGGGAGCCUGAGAAACGGCUACCACAUCCAAGGAAGGCAGCAGGCGCGCAAAUUACCCACUCCCGGCACGGGGAGGUAGUGACGAAAAAUAACGAUACGGGACUCAUCCGAGGCCCCGUAAUCGGAAUGAGUACACUUUAAAGCCUUUAACGAGGAUCAAUUGGAGGGCCAGUCUGGUGCCAGCAGCCGCGGUAACUCCAGCUCCAAUAGCGUAUAUUAAAGUUGUUGCGGUUAAAAAGCUCGUAGUCGAAUUUGUGUCCCGCGCCGCCGGUUCAUCGCUCGCGGUGUUUAACUGGCGUGCUCGCGGGACGUCCUGCCGGUGGGCUUAGCUGCUCUUCGCGAGCGCGCACGAUCGUACGAUCGCGUGUGUAUCGUACGACUUUGUCGUACGGUCGCCCGGUCAACGUCGUUGUCGCUGUUUCGCGUUGUAGUUGGCGGCCCAACUUGAAAUCCCACCGCGGUGCUCUUCAUUGAGUGUCGAGGUGGGCCGGCACGUUUACUUUGAACAAAUUAGAGUGCUUAAAGCAGGCUAAAAUUUCGCCUGAAUAUUGUGUGCAUGGAAUAAUGGAAUAGGACCUCGGUUCUAUUUUGUUGGUUUUCGGAACCCCGAGGUAAUGAUUAAUAGGAACGGAUGGGGGCAUUCGUAUUGCGACGUUAGAGGUGAAAUUCUUGGACGUCGCAAGACGGACAGAAGCGAAAGCAUUUGCCAAAAACGUUUUCAUUGAUCAAGAACGAAAGUUAGAGGUUCGAAGGCGAUCAGAUACCGCCCUAGUUCUAACCAUAAACGAUGCCAGCUAGCGAUCCGCCGACGUUCCUCCGAUGACUCGGCGGGCAGCUUCCGGGAAACCAAAGCUUUUGGGUUCCGGGGGAAGUAUGGUUGCAAAGCUGAAACUUAAAGGAAUUGACGGAAGGGCACCACCAGGAGUGGAGCCUGCGGCUUAAUUUGACUCAACACGGGAAACCUCACCAGGCCCGGACACCGGGAGGAUUGACAGAUUGAGAGCUCUUUCUUGAUUCGGUGGGUGGUGGUGCAUGGCCGUUCUUAGUUGGUGGAGCGAUUUGUCUGGUUAAUUCCGAUAACGAACGAGACUCUAGCCUGUUAACUAGGCGUAAUAUCGACAUCUCAAAGGCCCGCCGGUUCGACGCGUUCGCGCGUCGUGAUCGUGCGCGGUUUUUACUGUCGGCGUAUAAAUAAUUCUUCUUAGAGGGACAGGCGGCUUCUAGCCGCACGAGAUUGAGCAAUAACAGGUCUGUGAUGCCCUUAGAUGUUCUGGGCCGCACGCGCGCUACAAUGAAGGAAUCAGCGUGUCUUCCCUGGCCGAGCGGUCCGGGUAACCCGCUGAACCUCCUUCGUGCUAGGGAUUGGGGCUUGCAAUUGUUCCCCAUGAACGAGGAAUUCCCAGUAAGCGCGAGUCAUAAGCUCGCGUUGAUUACGUCCCUGCCCUUUGUACACACCGCCCGUCGCUACUACCGAUUGAAUGAUUUAGUGAGGUCUUCGGACCGGUACGCGGUGGCGUUUCGACGUUGCCGAUGUUGCUGGGAAGAUGACCAAACUUGAUCAUUU